rnacentral:RNase_P_RNA from 1 species
CGCCCGGCGGGGGCGACCCCAGGGACAGUGCCACAGAAAGCAAACCGCCCGGCCCAGGCCGGGCAAGGGUGAAAGGGUGCGGUAAGAGCGCACCGCGCACCCGGCAACGGGUGCGGCACGGUAAACCCCACCGGGAGCAAGACCGAAUAGGGGCGGGCGGGCUUCGGCCCACGGCAGUUUCCGGCCGCCGCCCGGGUUGGUCGCGCGAGGCGUCCGGCGACGGACGUCCCAGAUGAAUGGUCAUCCCCCGGCCGGCAACGGACGGGGACAGAACCCGGCUUACAGAUCGUCUGGCCCC